rnacentral:lncRNA from 1 species
GGGGAUGGUGAAGCAGAAAUGAAUGGACGACAGCAGGGGAGAGCCACAGCAGGAGUGACCGCGGGGUGCUGGUGCCAAGGUGAACCGUGUGUUUGACCAGGAAGCAGACUCUCGCCCCCAGCCUGCUGGCCUCAUAGCCUGGGCAGGACCGUAAGAAUUACACAGCCUACAAUCUCCCCCUAAGUAUAGAUGGGAUACUGAGUCCAGGAAUUGUCCUUCUCCUGGAUCUGUAAGUGUGGGGAGGCCGACUCGACUAACAGCCAGCCUCGAGCCCCAGCAUAGCCAUGCAAGGCUUCCUCAGGCCGCACCAC